CCCGAAACAAUCAUAAUAAAAGCCACUAAUUGGCCCGCAUGUUACACCUGUUCAGCCCAAAGCAAACGUAACAAAAGCCAUCCAUUUCUCACACCGAAAAGGUUUUAAAGUUACAGAGACAGUUUGCUGAAAGAGGAAAAACACAAAAGAACAAAGAGAGACAGAGAGAUUUCGUAAACUGCAGAAGAACAAAGAUUGAAAGAGAGAUCGAAAACAUUACAAAAGAGAGAUCAAAAACAAAUGAAGAACAGAGAUCGACAAAGAGAUAAAUUUCAGGGCAGCCAUCACCGUCAUGCAAUCGGAACCGUUACCGGUGAAGGUUUGUAGGUGGAAAGGCAAAUCCUUGGAAGCAAUGCAAGUCUGAUUAGAAGCGGUACUACCAGCUAGAGUUUCCACUCUAUUGGAACCAUCCCUGGUAAUUUUUUUUUUUAAUUGAAUAUUAAAUAUGCUUUAUAAACCAUUACCAAACCCUUCUUCUUUAUCUAAAGAGGUACUAACUAACUUUGUUUAUUCAUUUUUUUAUGUUGUUUGGUAAUGGUUUUUUUGCUAAUCAGAGUAGUUUGUUUGUUUUGGUUUGAUUUCUUCAUUGGUUAAGAUAUUUACUGACUCACACCGUUUCUAUAAUUUAUAACUUAGUCUUGCAUCAUGCGGGUACAACGAUGAAAACAUAUGUCACAUUACAUUUAAAAAUUUCCAUGCGCUGGUACAUCUGCAAGCUCAUUACUUGCUCUAUAUAAUACCUUUCUAAAUAGGCUCAACUACUCAAGUAGUUGGUUGCAAUCCCACGGUGCUUUUACUUAGUUGUGCUUAUUUUGUCUUGGGUGUAAUUUUUGGGUGGAUUCAUGUUGCAAAACAUUCAUCUCAUUCCCAUUUGGAACAAGCAAACUAUGUGUUUGAUAAAAUGUCUUACUCACUUUUGCAAGUUCAAGUCAACUUCACACAAACACUAAUGUUAUAGCUAAGUUAAUUAUGCCAUACAUUUGACUUCCAAAUUUCAUUUUCUCAUGUUCAUUAAUGGUUUAAUGUUGUGUCUAUGGAGGGCUACAGUACAAUUACAAUUCCAAUGUCACAUGCAGCCAAACUGGUUUCAAUGUCUGCUUUGACCAUACAGAAGCUGCCAAUGCAAUUGUUGUGUCCAAAGUACUCUUUACUAACAGUGACAAAGUGAGGUUUGCUGGGCUGUUUUUCUCUUUCCUUUCUCAAUUCCUCUAAUAGUAUUUGAAGAAAUCCUUGAACCAAAUUUCCCCUACCUCCGUCCAAAAAUUUCUGCCUUUGCAAAAUUGUUAAGAUGGACAUGCAAUUUAUAUUGGAGUUACACGCGCCAAAUGUGUGACACAUGCAAAUUAAGGAGAUGUUUUAUUAGUUAGUUAGUGCCAAGAACUUACAAAUCUUUAUUCUUAUUUUAAUUAGAAUGUAAUAAUGCUGGAUUUUUAAUGGAUUGUAGCAUUUGGGUAGUAAUGAGCUUGAGGGAGGGCAUCCAUUUUAUUAUAUUAACAGUUCAUAGAGAACACAUAUAUGGCU